rnacentral:lncRNA from 1 species
CAAAUGCAAGAUUUCAUUCUUUGAUGUUUUCAUGUUGAACAAUUGGAAUCAUGGAAUUUCUUCAAGAAAGGACUGCUGAAGCACGAUAGACAAGAAGUACUGCUUUAAUAAACGUGAACCGAUGUGCACUCCUGUAUGUUUGAAACUAAGAAGCCUAAGGUGAAUUAAAGAAUCUGUGGUUCUUGUGGGUCCUGCAGGUUACAAACUUGUGAAAAAUCUUUGACUUUAUACAUCCCACUGCCCUACCCUGUUGGAAAAGACCAAUCCUGGAAUGCUGAAGCCCUGAUGGAAGAUGAAUAGAAACCGGACACUCCCACAGAGGGCUGGUUAGCUGGUGCACCAUCCCAUUUGCUCUUGGACUCUGCUCACUUCACCUCUCGGUGUGACUUUGCGAUGGCUGGAGCUGUGCCAGGCCUGCUACCCCUGGACACCUGAUGAUAUCAAGAGGACUAAGGGCCCCUGAAAUUUCAGAAAUGCUGAAUCCGUGGCAAAAGAGAUGUUAUUGGUGCCCUGAGUUCUUGUAAUCUCCAAGGAGAGAAAUCAAGAGGGAUCACCAGACAUAGCAGCCAAAAAGAAAGAGAAAAAUUUAUUUUAGCUUGUGUGCAAGGAAGUCAGCACUGCAAAAGGAAAAGGUGGGUUGCUCCCCAAGGGCAGUAUGUGGGUUAGUUUUACAGGGACUUUCUAUAGAAAAGGAUUUUGUCAGAGCCUGAAUAGGAGGGGUUUGUCUAGAGCUUGUGCAGUGGUUUUACAUGCUUCUUCAUACAUCACAAAUAACAUGAGCAUUUUAAAUCUCCACUGCUGGGCAUGAUUUUUAGCAUUAAAAUGAGGCAAGGGUAACUAUAAGUUAAAGUUUAAGUCUAACUGCACACGCAGAACUUCAUGGUAGGCCCUAGCCCCCUGAAGUAGGAACUCGUGGUGGUUAAUAACUUCUUGGGUCUUGUUGUUAAUCAGCUGGAAGUUAGGUAAGGUGCAGCAUGAAUAAGGGGCUUUUGUUCUUUUUCUCGAAACCACCUCAAAACAGGAAAUCAGCCAGCCUGUCUGUCUCAGAAAGACCAAUAGGUGUGAAUUAAUCUUUAACCAAAAUAUCCUGGGCUCCAAGGCAAUUUGGGGGUGUAAAUACACCCCCAAAUCUUCUAUUAAUUUCUUAAAUAGAUUAUGAGGCAAUCCAAUGAUUCACAGAUUUACCUUUGCCUAUCCACUGAGUGAACUUUAAGAGAACUGUAAGUUGUUUUUCCAGUAGGUUUAUCUGCUAGAGCAGAUGAAAUCUGUUCUUAUUCAUUGCAGGCCUCCUGAGAUCCUAGUUCCUAAAUUUUUAGCAGACUCUUCCACCUCUCUAUUGAAGGGUGUGAAGUAUCUUCCCUGUACUCAAAAUAGCUACUGAUUGAUUGUUCAGUCAUUUACAUAUAAAAAUAAGACUCUGUUUUCUUCCUCAGCAACAAGGAACUCUCUAAUUCCUAUCUGACAGUUCACAGAGAUGUGAUCUUGUUGUUGAUGGAAUUUUCUUCAAAAUUUUGGCAUUUCGUGCAACAUCAGUCUUGGUGCUCCAUUUUCUUGGAGAAUUUUCAUCCUUUCUUUAUCCUCAAAAGUCUUCUGGAAGGAGUAAGAAGAAGCUGCCUCAGAAACUGUGAAACACAUGCCAUGUUAGUUCUAAUUUUAGUCCCAGAUCACUCAAUUCAGUUGUGCAGAUAAAUGAAUUGUCACAACUAUUUACAGAACCAAAUUGAGAACAAUCCUCUCUUAUCCUCACCUUACCAUCCCGAAUCAAAUCUGCCUGGGAACAAAUCUGGUAUUAGAUGUUUCUUCUUUAGUAUGAAAUCAUGUCAAUAUGUUAACUUUCCACAUAUAUCAAUCUAAAGCUUAUUUCUAAUUAAGCAAUAGCUACAAAUUAAAGGAAUUUAAAGCAUCACUGCACAGGCAGCAGAGGUUUUCUUCUAAGCCGAAACCCUGUGGGAAUCAUAACCCGGAUGAUAUAAUAGGCAGCUUGGAUUUCCUGCUAGGAAACCCGGCUCUAUCAUUUUCAUGGACUGGGCCACUUUAUCCCCAUGUCUGCAUUUUAAACUCUCUUUUAUUCUGAUUGUAGGUAACAAAAUAAAUAUGAAACAAAUUCAUAAACAAUAUUGGAAAAAGCUGUGCAUUUUUCUGAAUUUCAACAAAGCACGUGGCCAGAUCUCUCAAGUUAUUCCAGGGACAGAGUGAUCUGGGGUGGGGAGUUAGGUGGAUUUCUUUCCAGACAUUCAGCCGUAAGUAAUUAGCAGUCAGCCUGGCACUGGGCACCAGGGUCCCUGGGAUGAUGGCAGAGGAAGGCAUGAUUUUCCAAAUUGAUGGAUCUCAUGUCAUUGGGAGGAAUGAGAAACGAAUUGAAUGACAUUGUCACUGUCAUCACAUUUUUACAGAUGAAAUCCAAACAGAUCAUAGUAAACUGCAUGAGCAUGGUGGAGAAGGGACACUACAACAACAUCAUUUGGUCAAGUAGUUAGGGGUUGAUGGGUUGAAGUCUCACCAUAUGUUGACAUUGUUAUGAGAUGGCCAACACAAAUGAAAAAAUAGGCAUGUAUAGUGUCUAGGAAAGGAAGAUGAUAGUCUUCUUUCACUAUUCACAGCUCAGAUCUCGGCAGGAAGUUAGG